rnacentral:rRNA from 1 species
GACAGAGGCCUCGAGCGUUAGGCGGAAUCACUGGGCUUAAAGCGUGUGUAGGCGGGCCCGUAAGUGUCUUGUGAAAUCCCACGGCUCAACCGUGGAACUGCUGGGCAUACUGCGGGUCUUGGGCCAACUAGGGGCAGCCGGAACAAGCGGUGGAGCGGUGAAAUGCGUAGAUAUCGCUUGGAACGCCGAAGGUGAAAACAGGCUGCUGGGGUUGCGCCGACGCUGAGACACGAAAGCCAGGGGAGCAAACGGGA